rnacentral:lncRNA from 1 species
UUUUUUUUUUUUUUUUGGUUUGCAAGUAUUCCAUUCCGUAAGGCCGUAACGAGGUACUAGCUAGCUAGCUAGCCAGCAGCCAUCAUAAUGCAGCAAAAACAUAAUCAUUUCUUGUGAAUAUCUCUCUCUCCCUCCUUUUUCUUUUUUCUUUUUUUUUUUUUGGGGUUUCAUCACAAUUUCAUCAUGAUUGUCGUCAUCAUAAUUGCCACUCUGAAAUUGUUAUCACUAUUUGGCUUAACAAGUACUACUUGAUCUUUCUUUUUUUCUCAAUGUCGUAAAAAAUUUGCACCUGCUACUUUGAGAAAAAGGUUAAUUUGCAGUCUCAGCCAUCCUGUUUUUGACAGAACAAAGAAAAGAGAAAUGUUUGUACAGCUUGCCAGCUAAACUUCCUAAAAACUCGGGGGUUACCAUUUAAGCUCGUGGAGAGUAGUUGUUAUAUUCAAGUCUAAAGUGACGGGGGAAUUUUCGUAAUGAAUCUUCUGUCUCACAUUCUGUGUCACUCUCUGUCCCACUUUUUAUUAUAUUGUUAUUUCUCCUGCAUAAACAUCACGUUUUAGUUCUUUUUUGCUUCCUUAAAAUUCAAUAACUAUUAAUUAAAUAAAAAAUAAAUACAGUAACUUCAAAAAAAUAAUAUAUAAUAGAAAAUUAAAAAAUACAACAGAAAAUUCGUAAAAAAUCUCAUUUUUUAUGCAUUUUGAUUUUUUGAGUUUAUUAAAUUUUGUGUAUUACUCGGUUAAUAGUUAUUGGAUCUUAAGGAAAUAAAAAAGAACUAAAACAUGAUAUUUAUAAAGGAAAAAUAAUAAUAUAAUAAAAAAAGUGGGACAGAGAGUGACACAAGAUAUGGGACAGAAGAUUCGUUGCGGGUUUUUUCUCUUGUUUUUCCUAAAAAACCGUGUUCAAACCUGCUGAUUAGUCAAGCUUAUUUUUUUGUCGUUAGUUAGUGUAGAUUUAUUGACUGAGACGAUCUUUUCUAUUUAAAAAAAAAAAUCGGGCCGAAGUUUUGCAACGUAGGCACGUCCAAGUUCCAAUUGACUACACUAAACUGGUCUUCGUUAUAGCGAAAGAAGCGACUUCAAUUCCUCAGCAGUCAGCAUCUUGAAAACUUGGGCUACGAACGAACCGAUAUCGAGCCAUGGAGCUCUAAUGCGUACGCAACCAUGCAUGCAUAAAUGAAUCCAUGAAUCAUGAUAUGAUCAUUGCAGAGUUAAAUUUCAUACAGGUUAAAGAAAAUUAUAAGCAAGGACUUAACCCUUGACGGAGACUGGUCCUUAUAAAAUGGGUGGCUAUUAGCUGUCUGGGAAUCAAGAUUAGAACCAGCACGGAGGGCCGGAGUGGCCCCAAAAGGACAUUUUUGGUGGUUAUGCGGAUUGACAAAGCUUCCAGUUGCCAUAUUUGCCUGGUGGGCUGCCUGGCGACGCCAGAUCCUCAAACGUUGACACCUGUCGUACCAAGUCAUUUUUUUUUUCACAACCCCUGUAAUUAAUAAUUUUUUCCUCGGCAAAAAUUCCAUAAAAAGCAAAAGAAAUUCAUUUUUUAUUAUUUUUGGGGAAAACAAAUCCAAGUUUGUUACCCGUUUGCCAACAUUGAUCUGUUCUCAAGUUCUACUUUAAACCAAUAUUUUUAAACUCGGAUCAGAGAGUGAACUGAAAAAAUGUUCCGGUUUUUCUGCCAGAGUUACUCCAACCAGUGUAUCAUCAAUUUUAGAGAGUUUCAUAUGAAUCCAGAAUAAAGGUAUUCGGAGGAUGUUUCUUUGUUUUGCUUUUCUUUUCACCUUCCCAGAAGGCGGCUUGACGAGUAAAGUGUGCUUGAAAGAAUUAGUAACAAGAAAAAGAAAAAGAAAAAUAGAGGCGGACGACAAAAAUUCAUUUGAAUUGCUAUUUUUAGAAAUUUUUGUAAAAAAAUACUGUAACAAUUUGAUAUAUGUGAAAUAAAAAAGUAGAAAUUUUUCUACAGAAAAUCACGAUCAAAACAAGGCAGUAUUUCAUUUUCUUUCAUAUAUAUAUAUAUACACACACACACACACACACACACGCAUACAUACAUAUAUUGACUUGGUGAAAAACUUUUUUUUCAUUUUCUUUUUCUUUCUUUCCUUUUUCUUUUCUUCUUCUUCUUGUUCCCCCUCCCCCUUCCCCGUUACCUCCGCCACCCCCAGCAGCAACUCCACCAAUGCCACCUCCCGACACCCCUCUCCUCCCUUUCCCUUUCUCCUCCCCUCUUCCCGUCGCCCCCCCUCUCCUCCCUUUCCCUUUCUCCUCCCCUGCCCCGCCACCCCCUCUGCCUCACCUUCCCCUCCCCCCUCCACCAUCUCUGCCCCGCCACUCCUCGCCUCUCCUGUUCCCCUUCCUGCUUCUCACCAUCUUUCUUUUCUUUCUUUUUUUUUUUUCACAGAGAGGUGGGGGAGGAAAUGGGGGAGACGCACAGAGAAAAAAAAAGACAAGAGGGGAGGAAGAGGGGGAAAGGGAAAAAAAGGGAAAAAAAAAAAAGAAGACCGGCACCGGCAUGGGCAUCGGAAAUCGGCGCCGGAGGUGGUGGUGGGGGAGGAAGAAAAAGAAAAGGGGAAGGGAAUUUUUUUUUGUUGUGUUUUGGAUAUUUUAAGUGUAUAGGUUAAAAACUUUGAUAAGUUUUGGGAGUUCCUGUAGCACAAGUUAUUAAAAAACUUGGUAAAAAACAGGCCUUCUAAACAGGCCCUAAAUACUGCAAUAGUUCGGUGUUGCAACUAUAAGCACCCCUGCAAGAGUGACAUUAAAUUGAACUGUUCAAAUUAUUGGUUGAAGAACGAAAGAGAAUGUCGGAAAUUGUGACUCAGAACAAGGCUUUGUAGACUGCCUAUCUAAUGAACAUCUAUUGCUGCGUGAUCCAACAACGUCUUUAAGUUUAUGUGAGUAUUAGUGAAUCUCAAAUAGUCCAAAAAAAAAAAAAAAAACAAGCCACAGCACGCAUACUAGGUGACUAAAUCGGUAUUACUUCUCUCCUUUACAUUCUUGGAUAAUAGCACCAGCAUUAUAGGCGUAGAACAAAAGAAAGCAAACACCUUUGUUCAACAUGCACGGGUAGCUUAUGCUGGUAUGAAAUAGUCUGAAAUCUGCAUCGGGCGAGAGUCAAAGGAUAUAGUAUAUGGGCAACCGAUUCCACGUACCUUCACUGCCAACUUUUGGUUUUUAUGCGAAAGGGAUUAUGCACGUACCAUGCUGCAUUGCCUGUUCUUGUUCAAUUAAUAUGACAAAUUAUUUUGUACUACCGGAUCAACACAUCGAUCAUAACCACAAUACUUUGUAGUCUGCGCGCAUAUGUAUAAUAUGUCAGGUAUUACAAUAUGGCACAAAUAUUUAAUCCAACCCUCUCCUACGUGCUGGGACAGCGGCUAACUCAAAAAUCCCACAAGCUAGAAAAAAUGUAAGUGAAUAAGUGCCUUCUCACAUCGAUCGUGAGUGGUGUGUGUGUACUAUUUAAGGUUCUCAGUGUAACCUGAAAGUCAGCAUGUAUUUUGAAUUGAGCUGUGGGUUUCCCUUAGGUAGUGUGUGUAUUAUUUAUGAUUGUUGAUGAAUAAGUGCCUUCACUUUUUUUUUUUUCUUUUUUUGGGCGUGGGGAAUAAUUUCAAUGUGCAAGAUAAUGUUCCCUAUUCGCAUUGGCAAUAUUGGGUAUGCAGUUCAUGAAAAUUCAGAAAACCAAAUUUGGCAUAUGAAUAUCUGAUGAAAAAUAUGGACCUGGAUCCCACUAGGCGCUUGGGUCCGUCCAAGGCUUUAGUUUAAUGCAUGGAGCAAGACAAACAUAUAUCUAGCUAGCUGCCACUCCCCCUUUCCGUGAAAAGUGAUAGCGCAAUUUACCUACUGACAGGCUGAGUCUAAUGGGCGGUGCCGUCCGAUGGACUGGUUGAGGCACGUGACAAGGACGGCACUGCACGGUGGCUAGUGGGUCUGCGGUGGUGGACGCACUUUGAAGAAAAAGCUGAAUUUGGUAUUGUUUUGUGCGGAGCGAGCGAUUCGGGGCGAAUUAGCUCUACAACCGGUGAGAGUAGAGGCCACGUGUAGAACAUGACACUUUAGGUCUGCACCCUCCAGGACACAGCUCACAUGACGACGACUAUGCUUUUUCUGGGAUAGACAUCUGGAAUCUGCAUCAAUUUCUCUCCUCCUGAAGCUUCCACGUCACUUACAAGAUCACUUUGUCUCCUCCUGAAGCUUCCACGUCACUUAAAAGAUCACGUAUCUCUGAUGAGGAUUGGACUGUCGAUCAACCUUUCUUUACAGUAGUUAGUGUGUCGAUAUGGAUAUACAUAUGUAUUUUAGGGGACCCCCAAUCAAGUGAUGGAAAAUGACACCGGUUGCGUCACAGAUUUUUUACUUUAGUAAAAUCUGUCAAUUUGGUUAAGAUUAGCCCAAUCUAUUGCUUUGGAAUAGCUCAACAAUAUCAGCGCCCCUCAAAUCAGGAAGAUUCUAGACUCUAUAUUUUACAAGAAAAGAAAAAAAAUACGGAGGAUUUAAAAGUCGGAUCAGAGAUUUCUUGAUUAUUAAUAAUUCUAUUGGUUAAGUUGAUUUUUAAAAUAUUUGAGAAGUUACAAUUUACUACCGAAAAUGGUUAUAAUUAGUGGCUCGUUGAACCACGAAGAACUGCAUUGCUCGUGUUCAUCCAUAUUUUACUUUCAAAAAAAUAACUACUAUAUCGAGGGAGAGUAGAUCUCUCAAUUAAAGCCACUUGCAAAAUGCAUCAACACCAAUGGUAUUGGUGGACCUUUUUAUAUAUAUAUAUAUAUAUAAAAAAAAAAAUCAAUCGAUUGCAUUACUACUACUAUAUCGAUCGAUGUCAAGCAGACAAGACGAUCCGCAAGAUUUGCAACUCUCCGUGGGCCGGUCCCAAUAGUUGUACCAUGAUGACAUGCAUCGUUAGGCCAAUUACAAGUCCCGAACCGACAAUAGAUAUUUGCAUCCACCAUUGUUAACUUAGGCACUUCAUCCUGGAAUUUUUGAAGAUGAGAAGGAAGCAGCUAUUUGAGUUGUCAUGAUGAUGCAAACCAUUAGAAAGCACGCACGCACACACACACACAACACACAGUGAAAUGCACGGUGCGUCUGAAAAAGUUGUGACCUUGUGAAGCAUAUUAUGUGGUCUGGUCUGUCACGGGAUAAAGCAAUCCAGGAAAAAAAAAAGGGGCUUGCUUUAUCUAGCAAUAGCUCAUCCUCAUCUUCUCCUGCCCCCGUCCGUCUCUUUCAGUCUCUGUUCUAACGGAUAUAACUCCAUAACAGAAUUGAGAAAUGGUCCAUGUAAUGCAGGAAGAAAGUGAAAUAAAUAAUUUUUGAGAUUUCACACAAUUUUACCUUGUACGUCUUCUUCAGAAAGGUAUUGACAAUGAAGGAUGAAAAAAAAAAAGGUUUUGGAAAUUGAUGAGAUGGGGGUGUUAGGUUAGGUGUCAUGUGCAGCUGAAGUGGUAUCAUGUGAUGGAUGAAAAGGUGUGCUUUGUUCAUAUAUAAUUGCAGUGAGAAGAGGCCAAAAAGUACCCUAUCCGUAACAAAUAUCUGCUCCUGCUCUCUGUGUCUGGAAUUUAAACCGUAACAAUACAUCAAUUCCGUCUCAGACUCACUCAGGGUAGAUAUUUGACACGCUACUGUUUCAGUCUUCCACGUGUCCCCGGGGGAGCCCCUCCACGUCCCCCCCCCACCCCCCAGAAAAAAGAAAAAAGAAAGUAAAUGUUUACCAUGUACUACUACUGUGCUUAUCCUCUAGUAACUAGAAUCAUUUUCACAUCAAUUAAUGAGGUUCAGCAGUCCGAUAGUACCUUUCUUACGACCGAAAUUGCGGUAUGAUAUAUGGUAGCAAUUAAGAAGGAAAGGAAAAAGUUGUCUUUCUUUUUCUUGAGGAUUAUUGAUUGAUGGAGAAGGUCAACAUGAUAGAACUCAUUAUUAAGAAGAAAAAGGAUCCAGUGUGAUCUCUCACAAUGAGUCAGUAGCAUACAUGUAAUCUGCUGCUUUUUUUUUCUUUUUUUUUUUUGUACAUAUAAAAAACACCGCAAGUAAAAAUUUUUUAUAAAAAAAAAAAAAAAAACUGCCUGGAAAGCACCGGUCCGCACCAGACAUGAGGAGGCUGUCAGGGACCUAGGCGAAUUAUACCGUUUCAUUCACUGAAGUCUGCGUUUUAGGAAUAAGUCGUUGGACCAAAACGGUGCCGUGGGACUAAUGUUGUUAGUUAGUUAUGUUUGCAUUUCACGUGUAUUGAUUUUCUACUGAUUAGGCCGGUUAUAAAUAGUAAGCUUGUAAUAGAAUCAAGCUUAAGAAAAGAUAUAACAAAUUUGUUCUCUCCCCAGUUAACGUCUACUCUCUCUCCUCUUCCUCGCAUUCUGUUUUUCCCAAUUCUCCUCGCCCUCUCUAACCGACUCAGCAAUUUUCCCCAAUUUCUGACCUAGGACUCUGACAUCUGGUAUCAGAGCAGCCGAUCCUUGGCUGCGAAGACACUGGAAAUGGCGGAGAGUACCAGAUUUCGUACAUUGGAAGAUCAGCUCAAGAAGCAGGAAGCUCGCCUGCAGGAGAUGGUGGAUUCGGUGGCCAGCGUACAAGCUGCGUGCCAACACCAGUUUCAGGAAGAAUUAGAGCAGAGGAGUUCGCGGCUGGAAGCGCUCGUAGGAAGCUUGAAUCAGAGGUUUGACUCCAUUGAGCUGAAGUUCAACAGCCUACUGACCGCAAUGUUGAAGGAGAAAGGAUGCGCAGAGCUGGAAACGAGGAGUUCGGAGCUGCUAUUACCAACUCCACCUCCGCACAUGAAGCUGGGGAAUCCGAAUGGUGCUCAAUUCGCACCACCAGAGAACCGAAGUAAGCAAUUCACCCCUAUUUUGCCAAGAUUGGAAAUGCCUAUGUUUGCUGCUGGUAAUCCUAGGGAAUGGCUUAGGAAAUGUCAGAAAUAUUUUACGAAUUACCAGAUUCCUGAUAACCAAAAAGUAGAGAUGGUAGAAAUGUUCCUCGAGGGGAAGGCCGACAACUGGUUUCAAGGCGUGAAACUUGAAAGGCCUCAACUCUCCUGGGCAGAAUUUAGCGAUUUAUUGUGUGAAAGAUUUUCCGGUAAAGGCUCUCGAGAUGUGAUAGAAGAAUUCAAUAAACUUCAACAAAAGGGGGUGGUAGAGGAAUAUGAGGAGAAAUUUGAGGAGCUUAAAACUCUCAUGUUGCUUAGAAAUCCGAAACUCGAUGAGCUUUAUUUUGUCUCCAGUUUUAUCAGUGGGUUGAAGGAGGAAAUUAGACCAAUGGUGAAGAUGUUUAAGCCACAAACACUGGCCAAGGCCUUCGAAGUAGCUGAAUUACAAGAGUGUUCCUUAGAAGUGCAAGCAAAGCACUCGCGAAAUGCUGGAAAAAUGAUGUUGGAAUCCAGGUUUGGGCUGUCUAAGAAUAUAUCUAGUGGACAGAGGUCUUCCAGCUCCUACCGUAUUCCAGCCAUUACUCCCAACAAUAACAAGCAGGAAAACGUGGCUAGGGAGUUUAAUAAGGUCUCGGCUGAGGACAUCCAACAUAGGCGCAAACACGGUCUAUGCUAUAGGUGUGGUGAAAAAUUUGGCGCGGGGCACCGAUGUAGGACAGGGAACUUGAAUUGCUUGGAUCUUGAGGAAGGGGAAGAAACAGAUUUUGAAGACGCUGAAGUGGAACAAGAAGAAAACACUGGGAGAGUUGGUGAACUAGCAGAGGUUUCUCUAAAUACUUUGAAUGAUGCCAUGAGCAGGAAGUCUAUAAUACUGCGAGGUAACAUGGGAGGACUACCAAUAAAAAUCCUGGUGGACACUGGGGCUUCGAACAGCUUCAUUCAUUUUGGACUUGCUAAAGCUUUGUAUUUACCUCACUGCGAGGUGACUCCUUUCACAAUCACGUUGGCAGAUGGGACUGAUAUCACUAGUGGCGCAGUUUGUCCAGGAGUCCAGUGGUUGAUACAGGACUAUCAAUUUCAAUUUGACCUGAAGGUAAUGGAAUUAGGGACUUGGGACAUUAUCUUAGGGGUAGAUUGGAUGUACCAGUUCAGGCCUAUUACGUUUGAUUUCCACAGCCUCAGCAUUUCCCUCAGUAGUAGUGGGAGUUUGUUACACUUACAGGGGCUUGUCAACCAGCCUGUGAUGGAAUUGGUAAGGGGCAAGGACCUCAGGACUUUUAUAGAAGAAAAACGCAGGCAUUGUGUAGCCUUACAAGCUGAAUCACAGCAGCACCAGCAAGUAGAUGUCCCUGAACAGGUAGAAGCGGUUCUGCGACAGUAUUCACAAGUGUUCGCCAUCCCGACAGGUCUACCACCGGAAAGAGAGUUGGAUCACCAAAUCAAUCUCAAACCGGGAGCGGAACCCUUCAAACUUAAGCCUUAUAGGUACCCUCAUGCACACAAAACCGAAAUAGAGAAGCAAGUGGCUGAAAUGCUCUCUAGCGGUAUCGUUACUUAUAGCAGCAGUCCUUUUGCCUCUCCGGUGUUGCUGGUCAAGAAGAAAGACAACUCAUGGAGGUUAUGUGUGGAUUAUCGGAAGUUAAACGAGUUGACGGUUAAGGACCAAUUUCCCAUACCGAAUAUAGAUGAACUCCUAAAUGAAUUGCAUGGGACAAAGUAUAUGUCUAAGCUGGACCUGAGGGCUGGUUACCACCAACUCAGAGUUAAGGCAAUGGACACGUACAAAACUGCCUUCCAGACGCAUCAUGGUCACUUCGAGUUUUUGGUCAUGCCAUUUGGUUUGACGAACGCUCCGGCUACCUUUCAAGCCUUGAUGAACCGCAUUUUUUAGCCUUACAUGAGGAAAUUUGUGUUAGUAUUUUUUGACGAUAUCCUGGUAUAUAGCCCCACCCUCGAGUCGCAUGUUCAGCAUCUCCAAAUCGUCCUUGGAGUCCUGGCUGACAACCAAUUGUUCUGCAAACGAUCUAAAUGCUCCUUUGCCCAAACUUCAGUGGUGUAUUUGGGACAUGUGAUAUCUGGAAAAGGUGUAAGCAUGGACAGCUCUAAGGUAGAUUGCAUACUUUCCUGGCCGGCACGACAAUCUGUGAAAGAGUUGAGAGGAUUUUUGGGAUUAACCGGGUAUUAUAGAAGAUUCAUCAAGGGAUAUGGGGUUAUCAGUAAACCGUUGACGCAGCUGUUAAAGAAGGACGGGUUUGUAUGGAAUUCUGAAGCUCAGAUGGCUUUCCAAGACUUAAAGAAAGCCAUGACGACGGCCCCAGUACUGAGCAUGCCCGACUUUGAGAUACAUUUUGUUGUUGAAACGGAUGCCUGCGGAGUGGGAAUUGGGGAUGUCCUGAUGCAACAGGGGCAUCCCAUAGCAUUCCUCAGCAAAGCUCUCGCAAAUCAGAACUUGGGAAUGUCGGUAUACGAGAAGGAGCUCCUGGCGUUGGUGUUGGCUAUCACCAAAUGGAAACACUAUUUGGUCGGCCAUCGCUUCAUCAUUCGAACGGACCACCAGGCUCUCAAAUACCUGCUGGAACAGCGACUUACACACCCGUUGCAACAUAAAUGGCUAAUCAAGUUGUUAGGCUUGGACUACGAGAUCCAAUAUAAGAAAGGCAUUGACAACGGAGUGGCAGGCGCAUUAUCUAGACGACGAAUGGUUGAUCAGAGUGCCGCACCUUCAACCAAAUAUGGAACUUUGAAUGCUAUUUCUUCUGCUCAACCAGCAUGGGUACAGGAUCUGCUAGACAGCUACACAGGAGAUGCUAUAGCUCAAGAACUUAUUCCACAACUGUUGCUAGAUCCUUCCUCCAACUCGGACUACCAAUUGGACAAGGGACUGUUGAAGUUCAAAGGUAAAUUGUAUGUGGGCACCUCAUGUGAAAUCAGAGACAACCUUAUCAGGGCAUUGCAUGCAUCUGCCGUUGGGGGACAUUCCGGCCAGAGGGGCUGCCUGCAAAGGGUGUAAGCGCUGUUUUACUGGCCGGGCAUUAAGAAAGACGUCAUACAGUUUGUGAGAUCAUGUGAUGUGUGCCAAAGGAGUAAGCACGAAAACGUCCCAUAUCCCGGCUUGCUCCAACCACUACCGGUUCCUCAGCAGGCGUGGUCCCAAAUAACUAUCGAUUUCAUCGAACAGUUACCCUUAUCUCAGGGGUUUGAUACGAUAUUCGUGGUAGUGGAUCGUUUCACCAAGUUCAGCCAUUUUAUGCGCCUCUCUCACCCGUAUUCAGCUCAACAAGUGGCCGCAGUGUUUCUUGAUAAUGUGUAUAAACUCCAUGGCUUACCAGAAGUUAUCGUAUCUGAUCGAGACCGGGUGUUUCUUAGUGGAUUUUGGCAGGAGCUGUUCAAGUUACUGGGGACCAGACUUCGAUAUAGUUCCUCCUAUCACCCACAAAUGGAUGGGCAAAGCUAGCGAGUUAACCAAUGCCUGGAAACAUAUCUCAGAUGUAUGUGUAGUGAGCACCCAACGCAGUGGAGUGUUUGGCUGUCAAUGGCGGAGUUCUGGUACAACACAAACUUCCACACCAGUUUACAACUUUCCCCCUUCGAAGCACUAUACGGGUACAAACCAGCUCACAUUCCCUUGGGACCUUUCCACGAUAGUGUGAUUCCAGCUGCGGCGGACAUGGUGCAAGAACGACUACAGAUCACAUCAUUGAUCAAGGAGAAUUUGGCCAAAGCGCAGAAUCGGAUGAAACACUAUGCGGACAAACAUCGCUCCGAGAGGACUCUGCAAGUAGGAGAGUGGGUUUUCCUUAAAUUGCAGCCGUAUAGACAACAGACUAUAGCAAUCCGAAAGAACCUUAAGCUGUCCGCCAAGUACUUUGGACCUUUUCGCAUCAUUGAAAAGGUAAGAACCGUAGCUUAUAAGUUACAAUUGCCACCCGGAGCUAGAGUUCAUCCGGUAUUCCAUGUUUCGCUGCUUAAAAGAAAGAUUGGUGAUGCUCAGUCAGCUGUACCUGUCUUACCCGAGCUUGAUGCAACUGAUCAGUGUUUGCUGCAGCCUGAGAAAGUGAUGAAGCGUAGGGUAACCAUGAGGGAUUCUCAACCUGUAAUACAAUAUUUGAUCAAGUGGAACCAUCUUCCGGACUCUGAGGCCUCCUGGGAAGAUAAGAGCUUCAUUGAUAAAAUAUUUCCAGAUUUCAAAGCUUGAGGACAAGCUUUCUUUAUGAGGAAGGGAUUGUCAGGGACCUAGGCGAAUUAUACCGUUUCAUUCACUGAAGUCUGCGUUUUAGGAAUAAGUCGUUGGGCCAAAACGGUGCCGUGGGACUAAUGUUGUUAGUUAGUUAUGUUUGUAUUUCACGUGUAUUGAUUUUCUACUGAUUAGGCCGGUUAUAAAUAGUAAGCUUGUAAUAGAAUCAAGCUUAAGAAAAGAUAUAACAAAUUUGUUAUCUCCCCAGUUAACGUCUACUCUCUCUCCUCUCUCUCGCAUUCUGUUUUUCCCAAUUCUCCUCUCCCUCUCUAACCGACUCAGCAAUUUUCCCCAAUUUCUGACCUAGGGCUCUGACAGAGGCAUACCUGCCAGACGCCUGUAGUCGGUCCAUCCAAUGGCAAUGGAUGGUAAGGCGAGAGAAAGAUGGAUGGAGGAGACUCUCAUGAAUAUAUUCAUAUCUCAUCUUUCUCAAACUCUCUCGUGUUAUUGUUACGUUUACUACGUAGUCAUUCAUUCAGAAUAUUUAAUGAUGCGUGCCAAUCUACAAGACUAGACCAACAUAAUGAAGUUGGACCUGAGACAACCAACAUGAUUGAUUCUCUAACCAUCAUCAUCAGCAUGCUUGAUGCUCCUCCUCCACGAGUUUGCACCCUCAAUUAAACAUACACACACACACACACAAAGCCCAAGCAGCAGAAGCAUGACAAGAUUACAAGCUGUUAUAUCUAGUGCACAAUAACAACACAGGAACUAAUUAAACAAGACUGGCUAGUGGCUACCGGCUACCGGCUACCGGCUACUGUCUACUGGCUACUGGCUAGGAUAUGAUUAUUUUCACACAAAAAAAAAAAAAAACUUUUACUCCUCACUCUCCAAAGCUCCACUAAACUUUACAAAACACAAUGGAGUUAGAUUUUUGUCUGUUCACGUGUACAUGUGAACAUGCUUGCUAGCACAGAUAACACAUACUUAACUAUUGGAAGCGAUGCAUUUAAACUCCAUGUACUACAAUUUCUAAAUGCACGUAUUGCUUACACUUUUUCUUUUUUAUGAUCCUGCUCUUCCAAAACCGGUGUCUUGCAUCAUCGCCGCAAAUUCAUUGUAAUCAAUUCGCCCAUCCUGGGAAGAAAAAAAGGAUAAAAAAGCAACACAAAAUAUAUAAGAAAAUAUCAACGGUGUAAAAUUUGAAGAAACUAUUGGAUGCAUGACACAUAAUCCGAAUUUAACACGUGUCGUGCACAGUGUAUAUACUAUCAGUCAGUCAGUGUGUAUAAGAUUUACUCAUAAAACUUUCCUCAGUUCCAAAAGAAUAUCAGUUACUGUCUACGGCUAGUAACAUAUUCGAUGAUAUGCAUAUGUCAACACACACACACACACAUCACAGCAUAUAAUCUGCCAUUGGACGAGGAUGCAUGCCAUACAUUAUCCUUAUCAACUUCAUGGAUAAUUUCGUCAAGGUGAACAUCUCCCAUUCCGAACUUCUCACAAGCCUGUUGGAGCUCAUCUUUUGUAAUGUACCCGCUUCCAUCUUUGUCAAAAUAUGAAAAUGCUGCGUACAUGUGAUCCUCCUUCUGGAUCUUGUUCAGAUGGAGCAUUGCUGCUACGAAUUCCCCAUAAUCUAUGGUACCACUAUUGUCAACAUCUGCCUGCAUGGUCCAAAUAAACACUGCAUUUUAGUAAAAUCACGGAGACGACGUCGAGUGCCAGAAAUGCUUGCUUGCUUGUUUAUUGCUCUAUACUAGAAGCUCAAUAAGGAUAGCCUUAAGUUAGUUGAUUUGGAAAACAGCGAAGUUCAAAAUGAAAAAAAGACACUAGAAUACUACUAUGUCAAAAUUCUAAAAGAAGAAGAAAAAAAAAAAAAAAGCUUUUCAACUGCUUGUGCUUACAGCUUGCAUCAGGGAUAUUAUUUCUGAAUCCCGAAGAUUAGCCCCCACUCUUUCCAAACCAUUCUUGAGUUCCUCCAAUGUAAUUUGUCCACUAUUAUCCACGUCUAUCAUUUUGAACAUUUGUUUGAGCCCUGCAAUUUCCUCUUCAGACAGACUUUCAGCAAUGACCUGACAGACAAGAUUUGUAAGCCAGAGCACCAAAUUUUAGCAUGAUUGCUUCAAAGCAUUGUGCAUGUUUACCAAACUAUUGGAUCCUGGUUUUGAUCAGUCGGAAAUAUUUGGAGUGAUUGACCAAAACGCCAUGCAAAUAGUGAGUCAUUACCAAGGAAUAAAAGAGACAAGUUACUAAAAGAUGUCCAGUGAUCUCUAUACUCUGUCCCACCGACUUAACUCUGUACUCCGAGCAUCCGGUGGAAACAAGUCAAUGCCAGCAUAAUUUUGCUGAGGUUCAUAGUGUUCCUCAAACACCCAUGUUUAAAAAGGAUUAAAAGAAGAACUUACCCUAAUAGCUAUCUUCUUGAGUUUGUUCAUUGCAGAAAAUUGUUUCAGCCGACUUAGAACAGCAGAAUCAAGAGGCUGAUCGGGAGCUAUGCCGCCAACUCGGACCCAUGGGUGGCCUGCAAAAAGGAAAUGCAUUCUUUUCAUGCAAUGCAAAAUCCGAGUUGAGUUAAAUGGGCCAAUAUUUAGAGCCACUUUCUUUUUCUGAAAUUCUUUAUUCAGUUUCUAAAUCGUAGUUGGAUAUCAAACACACUACUGGGCAUUUUGAGUGCAUGACAGUUUCUUCUUUUCUUUUAAUUGUGGAUCUUAUUGAAAUAUGACGAAAGACGUUCGAAUGGAAAUGUCGAGUGAACGAGAUAUAUAGUUGAGGUCUAGAGUUUAAAAAGAUAGAUCGAGCUCUUUAGCACCGGAGACUCACUUAGAACUUCAUGUGCUUUAAGCCGCUUUUUUGGGUCUCUUACAAGCAUUUUUCUCACAAGGUCCUUCGCACUUUCUGAUAUGGAAGGCCAAGGUUCUGAAGCAAAGUCAAGUUCGCCUUUUAAGACCUGCUCAAAUAUGCCUUGCUCCGUUUCUGAUCCAACAUAUAAAUUUCAGGAUUAGAAAAAAAAAAAAAAAAAAAAACAAAGUGAAAAGUUUAAGAGAAGAAGUCAGGUAAACAAUGGAGUGAAUAUGAGAACAGGUUCAGAAACGAAGUAGUCACCAUCCCAGAAAGGCGGCACCCCACUUAGCAAUAUAUAGAUGAUGACUCCAGCACUCCAGACAUCACAUUCUGGACCGUAAUUCUUCCGCAAUACUUCAGGAGCAACAUAAUAAGGGCUUCCAACCACAUCAUAAAAUGUGUCACCUGCAUAGAUAAGACUUGGUGUUCUUCAACAAACCAGAAGCGGAAAAGUGGCCUAAAAAUAUGUGCGUUCAGGCAAGAUUGGGCAAUGUUAAUGCAGCAAUAAAAUUGCUUAAAUAACAACAAAGUGACACAAACGUAAAUGAAGUAGACUGAUUAAAAUAACCACAAAGUUGAACUUUGGGCAAACUUUCAUUAGUUUACAAGGGCACAAGGAAGACACGGAUUGUUAUUAAUUUGAAUCAUCUUUAGUGGAGUAAUUGAAAGGGGUUAAAAGAUGAUUUUGUAUGACACCAGGACCAUUCUUAUUCCUGCUGCAUUGCGAUUGAGUAGAAAACAAUACAAGUUCCACUUCAUCUAUUGAAUUGAUUGAGGUCCUGCUAUUUAUUUCUGUAGGUGGAAUUGGAAAGGUUAAAAAGAAGAGGGUCGUCGUAGGCUAUCUGGUUGUAUUACGGUUCAAAUAAUUACCGUUCCUCACAAACUACACUUCAUAGCCACCAUGUAAAUAAAAGGCCAUCACCAGAAGUACCAUUCGAGCAUCUAAUUCAAAGCACCCAGAGUAUGUAUACCUUUCAGCAAAUGACACGGGAAGCAAAAUUUUCUUUUCUUUCCUAUUUGUUUAAGGACAGUAAAAAAAAUUUUUUCCCCGAAAGUUUUCAAACUGGAUGGGAUCACACUAAUGUGCUUUGCUAGUUCAGCAAAGUCAGAUCAGCAUCAGAUAACAUUCAUAUCUGAUAACAUCAGAUAACUUUGUUGUCUAAGUGUUGGGCUUCCCAUUGGGUAUGCAUCAGAUAACACUUUAAGAUGUAAGUAAAUUAUGUACAAGUUUUCCAAGAAAAUUUAGAAAGCCGAUGAUGAUUAGGCUUGACACUAAUGGCCUAAAGUUCUAUCCUACACACUUCUGGCCAUGAUAGUGUUGCAACUCUGGAAAGAAACAAGUUUUAGGAGCUUAUGAUCUACCUAUGAGAUGAACAUGGAAGCAGCAAUCCCCCAACAGGAAGGAAUCAGAAUCCAAGUAUAAUUAGCCAAAGAAGAAUCUAUUCUGACAGUCAUUAAAACUUUCGUCUUAAAAGAAGUUCUGUAAUGUAGUAAAACAACAGGUGGGGCAGAAAAAAUAACACAGGAGUGAUCUCCAAGGUAGCAGUUACAGAGAUGUACAGAUGAGGGAGGAAAUCACUGUCAAGCUAUUGCUUUGCCGGAGCCUUGGUAGUAACUAGCCCAGCACUCAUAAAGUGGCUUGCUUAGGAGCAAGAUCCAGGUUGAGGCCUUGGAAGCAUUAGGUAUGGUUUUUCUGACCAUGUAAACAAUUGGCAUUGGGACUUCUUGUUUUUGCUAGUCUACAACACUAAAUAGAAAUUCCAAUUGUAAUAGUUGCAGAGCCUUGUCUUUGUAUCAUACCUAAGGUCAACUAAAGUAGUUCUAACUGAACCGGUAAUUCUAAUAUAACCUUCUUCAAGGAUGCUUGAGCCAGAUUUUCAGCACAUAAUCCUUCAAAAUUUCAUUGUUAAGGUAAUCAACUGUGAAAUUGAAGAGGAAAAUGCAAGCAGGAAAUUACCUGGUUUGAAGAACAUUGAGAGCCCAAAAUCAAUGGUCUUAAGUGGCGAUUCCUCUUCCUCAUUGACAAAAAGAAAAUUUUCAGGCUUCAAGUCUCUAUGCAUAACACCUAAGGAGUGGCACGCUUCCACAACACCAACAAUGAUCCUUGCAAGCUCAGCAGCCUUCCUCUCUGUAUAAUGCCCCCUCUGUAUUAUUCUGUCAAAAAGCUCCCCACCUGAACAGAGCUCCAUGAUAACAUGGACAGCAAUGGCGUCCUCAUAAGCUCCCACUAUAGAUAUCACAUUGGGGUGCCCCGCCAAAUGGUGCAUUAUCUGAAUUUCUCUCCUCACAUCCUCCACAUCCUCCUCCGUAGUCAGCUUCCUCUUAGCAAUAGUUUUACAAGCGUAUUCCUUUCCUGAGUCCUUCUCCACACAUAAAAAUGUGGUGCCAAACUGCCCUUGUCCUAAUUUCCUCCCUAAACUAUAAAUCUCCUUCAAAUUCCCUGUUUUUCGUCCUAGCACUGAUUCAACUUGAAGCCCCACGCUAGAAACUCUCUUGAAAUGAGCAGGCUUCUGUUUGGGAGCCUCAGCUGCAGGCUUGUUACUACUGGUAUCAACAUUAUUAGUCUUCUUAUUCAGGCCUUCCACGUCUGCUUCUGCCUGCUUCUGUGGCUCCUCGCUGUCUAUCUUCACCGGUGCAGGCGGAACACUGCGGAUAUCAGAUGCAUUAGAUUCAAACUCUGACUUUUUGGAAGUUGAUCCCACUGAAUUUUCAUUUUCUUUGUUGCUUUUACCGGAAUUCUUGCUACUUUUUUCUUGUUCUGGGGGUGGCAGAGUUCCCUGUUGCCGAUUUUUCCAGACCGCGGCUGUAACAGAUUGCAAGAAGCCAUUGUUCCCCAAAUUGGGUCCUACGCAUGUAUUCCCCAUUAGAUUUGUGCCCGUAAAUUCUAUCUCUCCUGAAUCUCACUAUGAUAUGAACAUACCCUUCUUGAUCCCAUUAAAAGUUCUGUGGCUAAAAUGGGGGGGAAAAAAAAAAGCUUUGCGGAAAGAUCAAUUCAAUCUUCAAGAAAGCCUGAAAACACCCAAAAUUCUGAUCCUUCCUUAAAAGCAAGCAAGCUCAAUAUACUCCAAGAUUUUGAUGAUUUGAUGCCCUAAUAUCAACCAAUCUGAGGGACAGAGAAACCCCUAAACACAGAAUUGAAGCUGCCAAACAAUGGUAAAGCUAGAACACAGUAAUUUUUUCAAGGAAGAUAUAUACAAACAACGUAUCAAAACGGGCAUGAAAGACGAAAUGAAAAAGCUGUGGAGGCAAAACUCAAGAAACACGACGAAUAAACAGAGUUAGUUGGCGAGUUGACUCGGAGGAGAAGAUGUAUGGAUCGGUUGGUGUUGGAAUCUAAAGUGCGUUUUGCAGACGAAAAUGGAGGAGAUCAAACAUCAUUUUCUAAUUUAAGCCUCCCCUUUUUUGCACACUUUUUUUUUUUUUUCUCUCCACACUUUCUCACGCUCCAUUUCCAAGUGGUGUGCUGGAAAAGAGGCAGAGAAUUAUGCUAAAAUUCGCCAUGUAACUCCGAAUUCAACCUACUUUUGACAAAUAUACGCGGUAACCUUAUGAUCUAACUCAUUGUGCUUGGGAUUAUCUGGUCUAGUACGAUGAUAAAUCCUUCUGGGAUUACAAGGGUAGGUUCAUGGGUAGUAUGUACUCAUUAGUACUAUUUUGCAUGUGCGCAUGUACAUAGACUGCAUGGCUCAGGGACGUGCAUGCAUGAAUUUAUUUAUGGAUUUAUUAAAAGUUUUUUAUGGAUCUUGCAAUCAUAUGCAUUUAUUAAAAGUUUUGAAAUCAAUAGAGGCUGACUACCCACUUCAUCAUAACUAUAUAAUCUAUUUAUAACAUCAAAAGUAGAAGUCAUAAUUAAGUACAAAAAGAAUGGAAUAAAUUUAGCGCUCGCUCCAAAUAUUAGUUUUGGGUGGUGAUAAUAUGCUAAUACCACUACCAGUAGUGUUUUUUGUGGGGAAGGAAGGUAGAGUACCAAAUAGUUGUGGCAGAUAUUAAGAUAACCUCAUGUAUAAAGUUGAAACAAACCCCCAACUUACUCUCACUUAGCAAUUAAAAUCGGAUAUAUAUACGUAAAAACGCGAAUGUGAAUAUCAGUGAGUCCGUUCGGCUUGGAUAGGUGGUUAUUUGAGGAAAAAAAAAUCUAAAAUAAUAUUAUAGUUUUUUUUUUUUGAUAUGAUACAUGUGACAUAAAAAAAAAAGAAUAAAAAUUGUAUUUAUGAUGCAAACAGAACAAAUUUUAGGCUUAGUUUGGGAGUUUACGAAGGAAGAGAAAAGAAAAGAAAAGAAAAGAUAGCUUAGGAAAGAAAGGAAGAGAAGGGAAAAGAUGCAUAUUCCGUUUGGGAGUUUGAUGAAAGAAAAUAAAAGAAAUAUCUUUCUCUUAUUUGAGAGUUUGAGAGAUAUGGAAAGAAAGGAUUUUACGAGAAUACAACUUUACAUAUUUACCCUUUCAAUUUGUAAAUCAAAGUCCAAAAAUUAGCUUUCUUGUUCCCAUAAAUAAAAUAUUUGAACAAGACAAAUUUCUAAAACAAUUGCAUCUGUAUUCCCACAAGGUGAAUAAUAAAACAAAUUUCUUGCUGGACUUUGAUUCUCUUGCAUGCAUGUAAAUCGCCUCAAGUCCUUGCAGUAUCUUUUAGGUAUUCUCGACAUAUGAUUUUUUAUAUUGGCUGGAAAUGCCUAGUAGGUUAUCUAUUUAACAUAAAUUAAAUAUUUUUUAAAAAAGAAAUAUCCCAUAAAGUUCUAGCUCUUUAUGACUUUUCUCUAUUACAUGAGCCAAGUACCAGGUUUUUAUGGAUAUUUUAUUCUGAAUCAUUUAAUUUAUGUUAAAUACAUAAAUAUUUGCAAAUAAAAUUCAAAAGCCGUUACACAAAUAUCUUUAUGAAAGGAAAACUAGCAUGUUUUGUGUUUAAUAUAAAUGAAGUAUUUGAAAGUAAAAAAAAUUUGUCCAUAACAUUCCAGUUCUUUACGAGUUUCUUUCAUUAUAUGAAUAAAAUACUAGCUAUUUAUGAGCAUUUUACUUUGAAUCAUUUAAUUUAUAUUAAAUACAUAAAUUUAAUUAAGCCAAGUUCAAAAAGUGUUACACUAAUAUUAUUACGAAAUGAAAACUAGUAGGUUUUAUAUUUAACAUAAAUUAAAUACGUGAAAGUAAAAAAAUAAAAAGAAAUUACCCAUAACAUAUCAGCUCUUUAUGGGUUUCUUCUAUUACACGAAAUACCUUUUGUUUGGUGAAUUAUGAGUGAAAAAUGGAAGAAAGCCAAGUUUUCGCUGGAAGUAUUGAAAGUACAGGACACAUGACUGAGAAAGCUUUGCGGUGCUUUUAUAGAAAUCAAUUUUAGGAUAUAUUGGAAAUAAUAAAUUUUUGUAUCAGCUUUUAAAGGACAAACUUGAUAUUUUAAAAAUGUCUUUUGGAGCCCAACAAAUUUCCGUCCUUUUCUUCCCACUUUUGGGCGGAAACAUUUUCAACAAUUGGAGCGAGACUUUUAUCCAUUCAUUUCACUUCUCUUCUGUCUUAUUAAACUCCCAAAUGAAAGAAAUGACCGUUCUUUUUCUCUGAAUAUUUUCUUUUCUGUCCUUUUCUCCCUAUUCAAAUGAAGCCUUAGGGAGGAGAGAGUGCUACUGAGAAAUUCCGAAUUUAAACCCUCCCACUUAUACCGGAAACUUUUUUUUUUUUGUCAGCAAGUGUGCCUAACCAAACAGACCAACAUUCGUGAGAUCAUUUGAAUUGUAACAACAACAAACCCCUUUGAUUGACUGAAUGAAGAAAAAUACGAGAAGCAUGAAUAUUAUUUGGAGCGGCUCUGCGAAAGAAGCUAAACAUUGGGCCGAAAGUUGUGGCUACGUGAUUUUCAUUCAGUUGGAUAUGCUUGGGCCUAAUUGUAAUUGGGUCUUCAGCUUGUAGCGACUUUGCCACUGCCUGAUUAAAUAGAUAUAAAUCGACCCAAUAAUGUAAAAACAGAGAGAGAGGGGGGCGGGCCGGGCGGCAGGGGUUGGUGUGUGUGUGUGUUGUGGAAGGGGACAGAUCGGUGGACGUCGUUGACUGAAAGACGUCAUCUCGUAGGCCAGUGGGAGGGAAAAUGGGAAAUGAAAUUGGUUCAAAGCAAAAGCAAAAGCAAGACUACAACCGCUCGGCCCCUGGUCUCGAUAGUCAUCGUUGUUCACUUUCCUCAGUCAUCCCACCACUGCCUGCUCCCAUUCUUCCUGAUUUGCCCUAAAUAACACAACACAUUCCUUUCCGGGGCAAAUCUUUCGAUUUCAAUGGCGAUUAGGGCAUUCUGACUUCUAGGUUAUUAUCCGAUCCUACAGUUAUAACCGAAUCGAAUCUCUUAAUAUUGAUCUUACACUCGCCUGCAUAAGCCUAACGUUUUCAUCUACUUUCAUUUUGUGCUUUAUGAAUUUUAUUUUAUUGACAGAAGGAGCAGCAAGAAUUUGAAGUAUUUGUUCCAUUUUGAAGGACUAUAAGUACUAUAAGCAGAGGUAUGGCUAAGGUUGCUGCAGCGGCUCAGACAAGUACUAUUCCGUUUGGUGGCGGAGGAGGUUCUAAGGCCACUACCACGACUACUACUAUGAAACGGAAAACUCCGUCUGAGUUGCGGGUAACCUCUGUUUCUUCUUUGGUUGCUUCCAUAUCGUAAUGCGAAACCAUGGUUUUCUAUUUAUUUAUUGUUUGGCAAUUUACUGCUUUUAAAUGUGAACUUCUUCUCGUUCUUAAUUCCGGGGGGGGGGGGGGUAUGCUGGCUUUUUCAUUCGAUUGCUGAGGUGUGUUCUCCCGAUAAAUCGAGUUGAACAAAAAUUCUACUAUUUAAUUUUACAGGUGAUGGUUUUAUAUUAGUGGAAUUCCUGUUGAAACUACUUAUUCCUUGACUCCUUAUGAAGUACUACUAAAUUUUCCCUUCUGAUAAAAUGUACAAUUAUUUGCAAUUAUGUUUUGGGGAUAUUGCCUCCACUUAAUUAGCAUCAUCUGUAUGUCUGACUGUUAGUAGCUUCCUCUUUUAAUUCUAUUCUUCUUGUUGUUCAAAAUUGUGUAACCCAAACUAAUGCUACAAAACAACCGCAUAUCUCCUCCAAAACAGCAUUUUGCACCAGAAUCGAAUUAUAAAGUGAAAAUCUUUUAUGUAUAUAUAUUUUUUAUGGAUGAAGGGGGAGCUGCUGAAACGGAAGAAUGUCAUAGAGCUUGUAGAUGAAUCUCUCUUUCCUGCAACUGCUUCUACAAGGUAAGCUUUGUCUUGCUUUUUUCAGUUACCUUGUGAACUACAAACUGAAAAACUGUUUGCCACUUGUAGGGAUGGCGAGGGAAAUGUUCCUGUCCAAAAAAAUGACUUACCCAAAAAUCCGAAAUAUAUUGAUACUCGCAUGGAUGAAUUAUUUCCUGUCAGAAAAAAUAGUAUCAGACUUAGGUUGCUCUCAAAACAGGAACACUCCAAGGUUGUAACAGUAUCUCGAGUGUUAUUCAUUUGACUUCCUUAUACUGUAAAUCAUGUUAAAUUCAUUAUUUGUAUGAUUCAACUUUCUGAAAUAGACAGCAAAUGCACUUAUCCAAAGUUACUGUAUACAUAUUUUAAUCUGUAUUUAGUCAAUCACAGGAUAAUGCUCCUGUUGAAGUUAGUGGCAGAUUGAAGGCUUCCUCUGCUCCCAUGAAUAUUGCUGAUGAGAGUCGAGCAAAAACAUCAUGGUAAGGUGUAUGGAAUAUGACUUACAACGCUUUAUGAUAAUGUUCAGAUUUUGUACUUCAAUUUACUGAUUGUCUGUCUUCUGCCUUUGGAAGUAAGGAGGACUCUGUCACUUCAGUUACCUUCUGUGAAGAUAGGGCCACCAAAACUUGUAACACAGCUGAAAAAUGUGGUGAGAGUACCUUUCGUAAUGUGGCCGAGCUAUCUCUGGGCGGUGAUAGUUUGUCUGGCCCGUUAAAUGUUGACAUGGUAUGUAAUCUUCUUUGCACUGUUUGUAUUAUUCUGGAAGUCAAUUUCUUUGGAGAAAAUUAGAGUAUUUGUUUUCCCAGGAUAAAGCUUUAAAAGGAUUGGUUGCCAAUGAUCGUCUUACUGCUUCAGCAUCACUAGCUAAGUCUUCGGAAUUGAAGUUGCAAAGUUCUUUCUCAGAUUUCAUUAUUUCUGGAAACAAAACUCCUCUGGAUUUGACUCUAAAAACUACUAUGCGGGUAGUGUCCUCGACCUCAGUGAACUGGUGAGUUUCCUGAUAUGGCCCUGAUUCUGCCAAGUGCUUUACAUCUUUUUAGAUAAAAUGAUAUACAUUUCAAGGGUUGUUAUUUUUCUUGAUUUCCACAUUGCUGCCAUCAAUUAUUUACAAAGUCUGGAUAUGUUUUGUAUGCAAUUGGUGAUUUGCAGUAGCUUUUGGUGAUUGCAACUUAUCAGUUGUGUUUGUCAUUAGAAUCUGAACCUUUUGCUUUGGCCACAUAUUCUGUUUUAUUGCAGUCACUAUAUAUUGGUAUUCACUGCAUGGAUGUUUAUUCUCUUUUUAUGCUUUCUAGUUUUAUUGUGGAGUAUUUAUUGUUUAUUUGCUACUGAUUCACCCAUUUUUUUGACCAACUGGCCUGGAAAAGCAAAUUUUCUGUGACUUGUUCUGAUGGAUUGUUAAUGUUUGCUUCUCGCUAUCUAACAUUGUGCUCUUUGUUUUUGAUUUCCUCACUCAUUUUACCUUUAUCAAAUGAUUGACCAUUUUGUUUAUGGAGUUUGAUUUAUGUCUAUUUCCGUUGCCCUUUGUUUUUGGUGUUCUGAAUUUCUGGAUGCUUCAUGGUUCAGGUUAAUCACAGAUUACUACGAACCUGAAUGAGUCACAUGUUCCUUGUUAGGCAGUUAUGUCUGGCUUUUCACCUUUUAAAAGAAGUUUUUUACCUAGCAUGUGCUGCUUAAUUUGACUGCCAUAGCUUGUACAGGCAUUCCAAACGAGUGCUCUUUCUUAGUCUCUUUUGCUUUUAUCAUCUGUUCUUUCCUUCAAGUUGGUAAUACACCCUCAGCUGUUUAAAAGUAACUUCUUUUGAUAUUUUAGGUUUCAUAGGUCAGUGAAUUGUGGCACCUUCUGCAGUAAAUUUGAGAGUGGUUCUCAGGAUGGUAAGUCUGUAGGUCAGGAUAUGGCCGGUUCCACAGAACUUGGUUCAUUAACUCCCAGAUGCGAUGCAGGGGGGUUGUCAUCGUGGGUCUUUCCACAGUCUUCUUUACCUCCUUCAGUUAUAUCUGCAUUGACCUCUGCAGCAGUGGGAGGUACUAUAUUAUCUUGCCUUUGCUGUUUUUGGUCUUGUCCAUACCCUUUUUCUUGUUUUAAAAACUUUGUGCUCUUAAAGGGCAAGUGGAUUUCUUGACAAAUCGGCAAAAGGCUUGGGAGGACUCAUUUCGGAGUCUAUACUACUUACUUAGAAAGAACAUCUGUAACAUCUUUUACGGUAGGGGUCUUAUACCUUUGCAUGUGUGACAUGGUUUUUUCAGCAUUACUGAGUUCUGUAUACAUUUAUGUGCUUCAGAUUGGAAAGGUUAACUUCUAACCUGAUUUGAAUUUUGCAGUAUGUACUGCACAGUUUGUUGUGAUGUUUACUGCUUGUGAUGGUCCAAAAGAAACAAAACGUAGUUGCAAUGCUUAUAUAUCUCAGUCCACGAGAGGUUUGAGGUCACUUCUGAAAGAACAUGUAAGAUUUAUAUUCUUUAUAUGUGAAAAAACCUUCACAAUUUUGAUUGGAAAAUUACUUGUUUUAUGUCCUAAAUUAUGGGUUUUAUUAACUUCUUUUGGUUUCUAAUGUCAGUUCUUUAAAUCUGUAUCUAUGGUAGUUUAUAGAACUUUUUUAACAAUACAAUUUUAUAGAAUAUUUUUUUCUAUAGUUUGAAAUCUUGACAAGGGAAGGCAAACAUCAGGGCUUAAUGGUGCACGCAGUGUAGGAAAGCUGAAAUUAACAGUCCACUCGUAUAUCUUGUAUUUAUGGUUUUUGGAAGGAAAUGCUAUGUGGAUUAUUCCCUUGCAUGUAGUUAUUGUAGAAACAGGAAUCUAACCUCAACUAUGAUCUGAUUAUGAUAAAUUGCUCUGGCAUUCUAUCUGAGUUGCAUAGAGUCUUGAAAUUGUUUAUAACUUGGGCUAUAUGCUCACUGGAACUUCUUAUUUCUGAGUCUAACUUCAGAUAGCUUGAGUUUGCAAUCUAUGACAUCCUAUGGUUGAUUUAUGUUCUUUCUGCAGGAUGUUUGUUUUUCUAUGCCUCUUUGCCACUCUAAGAUGGAUGAAGUUAAUGCAGAAGACCUGAUUGAGCUUUCAGUGCUUGAAAACCAUAAUCUUGAGGUAGCAUAACUUUGCAGAUGUUGUUUUGUAAUGUCUUUAAUUUGGCAAGUGCAGUGACAGUCUCAAGCAAUUUUUAUCACAUAGUAAUGAUUGUUGGAUAGUUUAGUUAUCUAAUCCAUGUCAUAAAGAGAGGUGUUGCUCAUGUUUCAUUCUUGUAUUUACCAUGGUUUCCUAAAUUCUUUGAAGGCUCGAGAGAAAUAACUGUGACAUGGAGAUCAAACCUUUUUGAUAUUGGUCUUGAUGUACUGUUUUUAAAGAGGCAUUUUUUAUGAGCCACUGGGACAUUGUAAAUUUGCAAUGAUACUGUUAAUUUAUUUCUGUUCCUGUAUAGUAAAUUUUGUGGGCUAUUUUGUCAGUGCUUUGCUCUUUGUCAGUAAUUGAUUUUUCAACUAACUAAUGCAGGGUCAACAUUUUGUUGCCAUGUCUGAUGUGAAUAACGGCCCACAAUCUCUGCUCAUGUUUACUGGAAACCAAAGUGUGCAUGGUUUAUAUGAUUUUCUGCUAAAUUAUAGGUGAGUGCAUUUCUUUCAUGACAAUAUAUAUUACCCAUUUUAGGUUUCUCUUGGAAAAAAGGAAUUUGUUAAUUCUAACAUGUAUUAAGGAGAACAGAAACAAAUUGUUGAAUUUGGUUGUUUGGAAUAUAUAAUGUCACUAACAAACUCAAUUAAUUCAAUUUCCCACAGUUAUUUACCUGUUAUAUCACACUUGUUAUAUCCCAUCAUUUGUGUGUGCAGAUUCUUUUUCUUAUCUUUGACUGGUGUGGAUGUUCCCAUCUUGUAUUCACCGGCGCCAUUUGAUAAUGCUGCUCUUUCUGCUCCACAGGUAAGGUUUUAAAUUGUAGGCUGGUGCUUUUUAAGAAUUUUAUCUAUUGUGCAUGUUAAAUGAAUAUGUUGAAAAUCUUUUUGUGCCACCUGAUUUUCUUCUUUUUUCCAGCCUUUUCAUUUGGGUGGGGGUCACUGUGCCAUGACAUACUCCUGCAUUUUUUUUUGUUCUUGAUUAACGUGAUCACUACUUUGUGUCUAAAAUGGGAUUGUUCGACUUUUUAAUGAAAGGAAGAUGAUUAAAGUAGCUUUACCGUUCAACUACUAUAUUAGCUCCUUGGGAUUGUAAUUAACAUCAAUUGAGACUCUUAAUUUAUGUUUGCAUAUAUGUUUAACCUCCAUUUAAGAGGUUUUAUUUCUCUGUUAUAGAGCAGAGAAAAAUGGAAAUUAACAGUUCUUGAACAUAUCUUCGUUUUAUAAUCAUGAAUAGAUAUCUUCAUAAGAUAUUCAAUACCCGCUGCUCCAGCAUUCCUGCUCUUGUGCCAAAAGAUGGCUUUUUAAAUCUCAUUCUUUUGCAGUUUGGGUUAGUCUCUCGAAAUGGAUUUAUGACUUUGUUUAAUAUUCACUAUUCAUUACCAUGUUAUGUAAUUUACUUCAGUUCACAUAUCUUACCUCAUUUAAACAUGCAGGUUAGGUGCAAGGAGGUUAGGCGAGCUGAUCAAAUGCAUUUGCCACUGAAAAACUGUAAUGCAAUUGAUGAAUCCACCCGGGAUUCAGCUGCUGGUAUCCAUUACAGUGUCGAAGUGAAGGAUGCAUAUCUUCCACCAUGGAUAAUUAGCUGCAUAUGCAAUGCUAUGGGAUCUGAUGGGACUAGCUUCGAGGCCAGGUAUUGAAACUUUGAUGCCAUAAAUGUCGAUAUUUGCAAUUCUAGGUUUGAAUUGCCAUCUCAGUAUUAUGAAGCUCCAUUUGCUUAUUUUAAAAGGAACGCGAAACUAGGAUUUUAUUCAGAAAGAGAUUAUCACUUGGAUUCAUAGAUUAUGUAAUGGAUAAUUUAAUUGGAGUUCCUAUUGGAAGGAUUACAGUGCAAGGUGCUUGCAAGUAUGGUUUCAGCAAACUAAUUGCUCAAAUGGUCAAUGAACAUAAAUUUGUGGGACAAUAUUAAAUGCGAUUGAACAUUUAUCUUUUCUGAAGUAUAGUUUCAGUUAUAAGUACUUGGGUUCCAUUAAUUGAACAUGCCUGCCAUGAGCAUAUAAAAAAGAAUAAUUUCAAACAGGUAUUCGUAGUGGUGGAUAGAAUGCAAAUGAAAGGGACAACUAUCUUUGCUCUGCAGAUGGUAGUAAGCCAUGCAUUGGAUGUGUCGAAAGGCAUAUCUGAGUGAUGGCCUGGUUUUUUGUUGGAUUUUUUAUGAUGCGGUAGAAUUUAAUUGCUCUUAGCAAUCAGGCACUUCCUGUAUAUUAAUUUUCAUUGUUGAUGUUAUUUGACCGUGUUGAUAUGGAUCUGAAUGCAUUAUUUUGUAGAAUACUCAUCACUUUACUUUGAUAUGCAUGACAUGCAGUUUCGUGACAGAGCCCACGUCAGUUGGCUUGAAUGUUGGUCUGGACACUAUUGGUCAGGAUUCUCAUCCUCAAGCCACAACCUAUGAAGCAUUGCCAAAAGAUAUCUGGAAUUUUGGGAUUCAAAACACCAGCUUUUCUCCUCACCUUCGUUCCGCCUUCUUGAAAGGCUUGAAGUACAACAGUGGUUCAUACACAGCUUCACUUUCACGCGUUUAGUUACUUUGAAGGAGCUCACUAACCUAUUUUUGUGUAAUUGCAAACCGGGUUCUUCCUUUUGCAAUCUAGACAUGUGUACAUUAUCUGACCUAAUCUUGUAUAACACCCACUCCUUUUCGCUGAACCACUUUGCUUUGGAAAACAUCCGAGCGUUUGUUGAAUUAGUCAAAGCUAUGGAUUUGUGUUGGCUUAUGCCUUCAAACAGUUAAAAAGGUAUCUGAUCCGGGUCCAUCUGCUGUGUACAUGGUUUUUUUUUUUUAAAAAUUAUUUUCAAGUGAGUGAUUGUGAACCAAGAUUUUCCAUGUACAAUUUCUUUCACUUUAUCAUUUAAGUCAAUCCUCCCCCUCCAUCUGCUGUGUACAUGUUAUUUCUUGUAAUAACUGUAUCGAACCAUUCAUGAAUGUUAUAUGAACUUGUGCUCUAAUUAAAGUAUGCGUCACCAAAAUGUAUAUCAUGAAUAGCUCAAAUUUGGGUGAGAUUUUUUGUAAAAAGAAAUUUUGGGUAUAUUUGGAUGGUAUAUUCUUUGAGUAUUUAUAUAAAACUCUACUGUAUAAUUUGUUCAAAAACUUUUGUGAAAAAAUUAAGAAUUUUUUGAACGGAAGUUUAAUGGAUAUUCGUUAACACAUCUAAAUUUUACAUAAUUUAUUAUGUAUAUAUACACAUUAAUAAUUAUUAUUCAUUCUUGCAUUUAUACACUUUCCUUAAUUAACUUUAUUUUUUCAAAAAUUUUAACACUUGAAACACAUUUUAACGAAUACUCAAUCAACAUCUAUUAGAUAGAUAAAAAAUAUUAAUAUUUUUUAUUUUUUUUCCCCUUUCUUUCCUCUCUUAUUCUUCCUCCCAGCCACCACCAUUGCUCCAACCACCAACGACACUAGCACCACCUCCCCCCUCUCUCUUCCCCCUCCUUCCCCAGCCACCCCCUAUCCUCCUCCUCCCCUUCCCUCCCUCCCCCUUCUCCUCCCCAAUCCCCCCAUGACCCCUGCCUCCCAACGGCUAAAUGUAUCUUCUUGAAUGGCAUUGAAAUCUUAAACCUUGUUAAGCAGGAAAAAAUUGGGCAUUAUUUGCUCCAGUAGUCAAUAACAAGGGAAAUUUGUCCACCACUAAUUACUGGCAGGAAUAGUAAACAUGUUCCGUGUUCUCUCCUCUUCCGAUAUGUAGGAAGAUAAUGCAAAUCAUGUGAGCACCUUGAUGCUUUGUAAAGCAGAUAGAAGGUAGUGCAGUAACACACAUUUUUAACGAUCUAAAAUAAUGAAUGCUAACUCUAAAGAUAUCAAAAUUUUGAGAUAGCUUCUUUAUCUGCUGUGAUAUUGCACAUAAGAAAGACCAAUUUCUGGAAUAUGCGGUUACCUACUGCACUAAAAAGAGAACUUGAAAGCACCUGCAUUUGAAUCAGUAACUGAUUCCCAGAAUGAAAGUUUCUUCUUCUGGAUCUUUUUAUCUUCUGCUUUUGAUAGCAGGUCAUCAACAAUUCCAGGAAAAGAUGCCUCAAUGGCUUUCUUGAAUUUUUCAUACAAAUUCACCCGGUCUCUUGUUCCAGAAACAAUCAUGCAAGCAUUUGGCUUCUUUAGAAAAUCCAAAACAUUCAAUAAAUUCCUUCUGCAAGAGAAAGUAGAAUACAGUUAAAACACAGAGAGAGAGAGAGAGAGAGAGAGAGAGAGAUACGGCAAAAGAAUAAAAUGAUAAUUCUUGGGGAUGCAAGUUGAAAGGCUACGGAAUUUCACAGAACAGAUACAAAAAGAGCUCCAAGUUUGCUGAUUAGAAGUUAUCAUACCAAACAUCACAAUGAUGGUGAUGCAUCAUCAUGCUUUUAUCUUUUCUCACUAGAUCAUUGUUGCAAAUAGAGUUACAACCAAGUGGUAUGAAUUCUCAUCAAAACAAAGAAACCUGUCCACCAGCAGACGUAGCAGUCAUAGCAGGAGAUGCUUAAUAGCUCAAAUUUGUAAGAUUAGUCUGUAUUAAACAAUCACCAACCAACAGUAUCAAGAAUUGAGAAAUCUGAAGCAUUUAGCUAUACUCAUGAGAAGCAAUAAAUAUCACUACAGGUCGUGAAAAUUGCAGGUGCAAAGAGGGUUUCAUAGCCUAUACCUAUCUGUAAUGAGACACAAUUUAUCUGUCCUGUAUGAAAAGACUGCUAACACCCAGUUAGACAGAAAGCACCUUCAGCACUAGUUAUAUCCUUUAUUUGACAUUUGGAGAAUGGAUUUCAAAACAGAGAUGCAACCUGGUAUGCCCCUUCAAUCACAAGAAUUAGUUUCUUUCUUUAGAAGUGAUUAUGGUCGCAACAAGUAACAAAAAGGUAAAUUAGGAAACAGUUUGCAUGUGUAGGCUAAGAUUAAUACACUGUUGUGUAAUCAUCUUCUGUUCAUCUUCCCCAGAGCCACAACACCGAGCACCCAAAUUACAGAUUCUCAUUCCUCACUGGAAUUUCUCCAGCCUGUUUUGAAUGAGGUUUCGCCGGUAAAGAAUGUUGCAAAAACUCACAAAAAAAAUGACACUUUAGUUCUUUUGCUGAUUUCAUGUACAAAGUCAUUCCUCCUUCAUAUGAUCUUAAUCUGAUUACACAUAUACAAGGCUGCUCUUCCUUAAGGUCUAUACAUUUCACAAGAGUUCAGGGCACAUAGCCUUCUCAAGGAACAUUUUACAAUAGUUAGGGGUAGGUUAUCACAAAACGGUCGUUUGCCAAUCAAUGGGUCACAUGAAAAAUUAGGGUACCUUAAAAAGCUAAUAUGUAGUAAGAUGCAACAAAGGAUACAUAAAUCUUAAAAUACCAAAUAUAAGAUAUGAUCUCAUUGCCUGUUAGGAUCCAUUAAAAUCAAGGAGAAAUGAAUUCAUUCAUGAGAUAAAUUGCCCCGCACGCACUUAGACACUGAGGAAACUAAGCAUAAUUACUCCAACACAGAAUAUGCAAAGAAACAUGAACAGACCUGCUAACAAAAUUCUGUGUAAUGGCAAUGGAGUCCUCAAGGUUGAUAACCAAAUGCCACCAUCCAUUGGGCACAAAGAUAACUUCUCCAGCCUUACAAACACACUCAAUGGGCUUCUUUUUCCAACUUCUUGUUUCAUUAUAAAAGUUCAUGAACCACUCUAUUAUUGAAACAGGACAGGCCACUUCCACUCCAUCUGGGCUUGGAUGCACUCCUGGUGGCACCACAUCAGGGGGGAAUAAAAUCCAUUUCUUCGAUCCCUUAAUCACCGCAUUCCAAGCAGAUGUGGAAUUAGGAUCAAUGUGGAAUGAUGAACCAGAACCAGCAGGUCCGAUAAUUAUCCAUCGAUAAUCCGGCCUCUCAUCCCCCAAAACACUAAAUAAAUCUUCACUGAAAUACACUGGAACUUCGUAGUCCAAGCCUAAAUUUGGAACUUUCCGUGCAAAUCUGGGAUCAAACAGAUACAAUGGCCUUUCUUCCUUGGCGAGAUCAGAGUACCUAAAAUACUCCUCAAGCUUCAUUUCCACAGGCCCAACUGAAAAUUGAACAUUACCACAUAAGUCGAUCAAAUAAUUCCUGUCCCACUUGUCCAACGCAGCCCAAUUUUCUAAACACCCUUCCAAUAAAACUGGCUUAUUCGGUUCCUCAAAUCUUGACACAAAUUCUUCAACAGAAAUUCCCUUGGCUCGUACUAUAUUAUCCCUUUCAAGCCAUUCAGGUUUCAUUUCAAGAUUAGCACAAAGCCAACUCUGAAACAAGUAGUCAGAAUAAAAGUCCCUAACAUUCAAACCCGAAUUUAAAAUUUCAAAAGACGGCCUAAUUGCACUGACAUAAGUAGAUUUCCAAGUCUCGUAGAACAGAAAGCCACCUUUACAAGUUUCCAAAACAAUAUUCCUCCAAAGGGGUUCAUGGUUACAGAAAACAUACAAAGACUUGCUCACAGUUGAUAAGACACCUAAAUGGGUACCUCCCAAAAGGCCUAAAAUUUCAAGUACAAGUUCGUCAGUUAAUGACUGUAGAUUACCGAGGCCUGAAUUUCUUGAAUUGUGCGAAGAAGGGCUAAAGUACAGAUUGCCCAGUGGUUGAACUCCGUGAGAAUUUGAUGGUGCUGAGGCCUUCAGGCUGAAACCUUCUGCACUAUCAUCACCGACUUUUUCUUUUUCCAGCUCAUGGAGUAUGUCAGCUUCAGGUUUUCUUGAAGCAAAGAUAUGGUUUCUUGAAACAGAGCAUUGCUUCUUCCAAGCAGUUUUCUGCUUGAUGUUUCUCUUUCUCUUGUGGGUCUGGGCUAUCAGAUUCUUGGCGCCGCGCAUUGUAUCAGAUGGUGGCCGAGCAAGGAUGAAUUAGGAGGAUUAGGCUGUAGCAUUUAGCCGCCACCAAAGAGAAAAUGUCUUGGCCACGAGACCAAAGGGUUCAAGAGAAUCAGGAUUCGAAGCACAAAUAAUUCAUUAAUUUCCUUGAUUUACUCCUGCUGAGCUUCAGAAUUUAUUAAAGAAAGGGAAAAGGAAAAAAGAAAAUGAAUUUCUUCCAUAGGUCCUAUGCAUAAAUGACUGAUUUUCCCAAAAAAAUUAUGUAAAUAGUAGACAAUUAGGAUUAACCGAGUUGUCAAAGGUAAAUUAGUAAGGGAUUUAAAAUGUAAAAAACAAACAAUUAGGUAAGCAAAGUUUCGGUUCGAUUCACACUGUCACCAUGCCGUUGAAAAAUAUUGUUUUAGCUUUGGGGGUUUUCGAAGCUCCUCCUGUUUGGAUUGCUAUUUUUAAGAAUUUUCAUAAAAAAAAAUAAUAUAGUGAUUUGAUAUAUGUGAGAUAAAAAAAUAAUUAAAAAAUAAGUUCACGAAAAACAUAAAAUAUUUUUGGUGAAAAAUUGCAAUCCAAAAUUUCUUAGGAUUAUACCGCAAUAAUCCUUUUUGAGAGACAUAUUUGUAAGAUAAAAAAGAAUGAUUGAAAAAAUGAAAAAUAAUUAAAAUCAUUAUUUUUCUUUUUCAAUUGAGGCCUACGUGACCUUCUUCUUUCUCUUCUUCUUCCUUUUUUUAAUUUUUGGUUGCAAAAUUGUCCUCACGUGACAUUGGUGAUACUAUUAAUUAAUUCUUUGAUAACACUAGGUAAACCACUAAACCUCAUAGGCGCCAAGAUUUACUCGAUUAACGGUCCAUGCAUAUGCACCAGUCCCGCUUUGUGAGUAUGGGAAACGGUCAGCCCUCCUCCGACAACGGUAUUUGACAUUUAACAUAUGGUACAAUAGUCUGACAUGGACAUAGGUUGUAGACUCAACGGAGGAAAUUGUUAAAAACCAUACGAGUAACAUUUAUUUAUUUAUUUAUUUUUUUGGAAAGGGAAUCAGUAAGGUUGUCAGAAGUGAGGGGGUAUUGAUUCUCUUUACAAAAUUUUACUUGGAUUUGAAAGCAUUUUCUUAGUAUAUUUCCCAAUUAAUUUUUUACUUUACAUAAAUCCUGUCUAAACAAAUUACAACAAUCAAUGCAAUUCACACGAGAGAGAGAGAGAGAGAGAAAGAAAGGAGAGGGAGCGGGGAGGAAGCUAAUACCAGGCUGACAAGGUCAGUGACCCGCCUCCAUCAAGUUAAAAUGAAAACUACAUGGAGUAUUUUCAAGAAAAAAGUAGGCAAUCGUCGUUGAUUGACAAAUCUUACACAAUCCAUACUGUACAGAAGCAAACCUACUGGACAAAUAAUUCGAGCUACACUUCAAACCAAUGAACAACAACAUGCCCACAAGGCCAGACCGUAAUGAAAUUUUUGCUGAGUUAACCAACAAAAAUUGUUGAAUUCCAAGAUAUCAAGUGGAUAGG